CUAUACAUGCAAGUCGAGCGGACAGAAGGGAGCUUGCUCCCGGAUGUUAGCGGCGGACGGGUGAGUAACACGUGGGUAACCUGCCUGUAAGACUGGGAUAACUCCGGGAAACCGGAGCUAAUACCGGAUAGUUCCUUGAACCGCAUGGUUCAAGGAUGAAAGACGGUUUCGGCUGUCACUUACAGAUGGACCCGCGGCGCAUUAGCUAGUUGGUGGGGUAAUGGCUCACCAAGGCGACGAUGCGUAGCCGACCUGAGAGGGUGAUCGGCCACACUGGGACUGAGACACGGCCCAGACUCCUACGGGAGGCAGCAGUAGGGAAUCUUCCGCAAUGGACGAAAGUCUGACGGAGCAACGCCGCGUGAGUGAUGAAGGUUUUCGGAUCGUAAAGCUCUGUUGUUAGGGAAGAACAAGUGCGAGAGUAACUGCUCGCACCUUGACGGUACCUAACCAGAAAGCCACGGCUAACUACGUGCCAGCAGCCGCGGUAAUACGUAGGUGGCAAGCGUUGUCCGGAAUUAUUGGGCGUAAAGGGCUCGCAGGCGGUUUCUUAAGUCUGAUGUGAAAGCCCCCGGCUCAACCGGGGAGGGUCAUUGGAAACUGGGAAACUUGAGUGCAGAAGAGGAGAGUGGAAUUCCACGUGUAGCGGUGAAAUGCGUAGAGAUGUGGAGGAACACCAGUGG
rnacentral:rRNA from 1 species